AUUGAACGCUGGCGGCAUGCCUUACACAUGCAAGUCGAACGGCAGCACGGGAGCAAUCCUGGUGGCGAGUGGCGAACGGGUGAGUAAUGUAUCGGAACGUACCUUUCAGUGGGGGAGUAACGUAGCGAAAGUUAACGCUAAUACCGCAUAUUCUGUGAGCAGGAAAGGACAGGGGAGUCGCAAGACCUUGCGCUGAUUGAGCGGCCGAUAUCAGAUUAGCUAGUUGGUGAGGUAAAGGACUCACCAAGGCGACGAUCUGUAGCGGGUCGUGAGAGGAUGAUCCGCCACACUGGAACUGAGACACGGUCCAGACUCCUACGGGA
rnacentral:rRNA from 1 species